rnacentral:misc_RNA from 1 species
CGCACCUUGCGCUCCAUGGUAUUCCGUGGAGCAUGCCUGUUCGAGUGUCACGUCAACCCUCACCCUUGCGAUGUCAAAGUCGCUUGUGGUGGACUUGGACCGUGCCGUAGUUGGCUCGUCCUGAAAUGCAUUAGCUUGCGCUUUUAGAGUGCUGAGCACCGGUGUGAUAAUUAUCAACGCCAACGCUCGAGGCCUCUUCAGCGGCGCUGCUUACAGCCGUCCUGACGGACAACAAUUCUAAGCUUUGGCCUCGAAUCAGGUAGGACUACCCGCUGAACUUAA